rnacentral:rRNA from 1 species
UACGGAGUGUGCAAGCGUUACUCGGAAUCACUGGGCAUAAAGCGCACGUAGGUGGUUUGUUAUGUCGGAUGUGAAAGCCCUCGGCUCAACUGAGGAAGUGCAUCCGAAACUGGCAAGCUAGAGUAUGUAAGAGGGUCGCGGAAUUCCCGGUGUAGAGGUGAAAUUCGUAGAUAUCGGGAGGAACACCGGUGGCGAAGGCGGCGACCUGGGACAAUACUGACACUGAGGUGCGAAAGCGUGGGGAGCAAACAGG